AGUGAACGCUGGCGGUAGGCCUAACACAUGCAAGUCGAACGGCAGCACAGUAAGAGCUUGCUCUUACGGGUGGCGGGUGGCGGACGGGUGAGGAAUACAUCGGAAUCUACUUUUUCGUGGGGGAUAACGUAGGGAAACUUACGCUAAUACCGCAUACGACCUACGGGCGAAAGCAGGGGAUCUUCGGACCUUGUGCGAUUGAAUGAGCCGAUGUCGGAUUAGCUAGUUGGCGGGGUAAAGGCCCACCAAGGCGACGAUCCGUAGCUGGUCUGAGAGGAUGAUCAGCCACACUGGAACUGAGACACGGUCCAGACUCCUACGGGAGGCAGCAGUGGGGAAUAUUGGACAAUGGGCGCAAGCCUGAUCCAGCCAUACCGCGUGGGUGAAGAAGGCCUUCGGGUUGUAAAGCCCUUUUGUUGGGAAAGAAAAGCAGCAGGUUAAUACCCCGCUGUUCUGACGGUACCCAAAGAAUAAGCACCGGCUAACUUCGUG
rnacentral:rRNA from 1 species